rnacentral:lncRNA from 1 species
AUGGUCAUCAUCUGGUGAAGAAGAAAAGUUACAACUUUGAUGCACUAUUGUCAUCGCUAAUUAUUCCUGGGAUUGGUCUUGGAUAGGAUACAUAUUGUACUUGGAACAUUUGCAAGACUAUCAAGCAAGGUGUAGCAUUCUCUUGGUAGAAAAUCGUUGGAGAAAUAUCUAGGUGUUGAUGCUGGAAGUACAAGAUGUUAAUAAAUUUUACAAUUAGCUUGCUACUCUAAACUCGAUCAUUUUGUUUAGUAUUUUGACUACUACUGUAUUCGCAGCGACAUUUUAGUUUGU